GUGCUUGCUUCAGCAGCGCAUAUACUAAAAUUGGAUGGAUACAGAGAAGACUAGCAUGGUCUCUGAGCAAGGAUGAUGUGCAACUUCGGGAACUGUUCCAUAUUUUU
rnacentral:snRNA from 1 species